GCGGGGGACGCCGGCCCGGGGGGGCGAUGGCUGCGGGUCUGGUGGCGCUGCUCUGCCUGGCCGCCGCCGCGGCCGCCGUGGAAGAAACCCUGAUGGACACGCGGACAGCGACGGCUGAGCUGGGCUGGACUGCCAACCCACCCUCGGGGUGGGAAGAAGUGAGCGGCUACGACGAAAACCUGAACACCAUCCGCACGUACCAGGUGUGCAACGUCUUCGAGCCCAACCAGAACAACUGGCUCCUCACCACCUUCAUCAACCGGCGUGGUGCCCACCGCAUCUACACCGAGAUGCGCUUCACGGUGCGGGACUGCAGCAGCCUCCCCAACGUCCCCGGCUCCUGCAAGGAGACCUUCAACCUCUACUAUUACGAGACAGACUCGGUCAUUGCCACCAAGAAGUCCGCCUUCUGGACGGAGGCACCCUACCUCAAAGUGGACACCAUUGCUGCUGACGAGAGCUUCUCCCAGGUGGACUUUGGUGGCAGGUUGAUGAAGGUGAACACAGAAGUGAGAAGUUUCGGGCCCUUGACCCGCAAUGGCUUUUACCUGGCUUUCCAGGACUACGGGGCUUGCAUGUCUCUGCUCUCCGUCAGGGUCUUCUUCAAGAAGUGCCCGAGCGUGGUGCAGAACUUCGCCAUCUUCCCAGAGACGAUGACAGGGGCGGAGAGCACCUCUCUGGUGACUGCCCGUGGCACCUGCAUCCCCAACGCCGAGGAGGUGGACGUGCCCAUCAAACUGUACUGCAACGGGGACGGGGAGUGGAUGGUCCCCAUAGGCCGCUGCACCUGCAAGGCUGGCUACGAGCCGGAGAACAACGUGGCCUGCAAAGCCUGCCCGGCCGGGACCUUCAAGGCCAGCCAGGGUGCGGGGCUGUGCGCCCCGUGCCCCCCCAACAGCCGCUCCAGCGCCGAGGCGUCGCCGCUCUGCGCCUGCCGCAACGGCUACUACCGGGCUGACCUGGACCCGCCGGCGGCCGCCUGCACCAGCGUUCCCUCCGGCCCCCGCAACGUCAUCUCCAUUGUCAACGAGACCUCCAUCAUCCUGGAGUGGAACCCGCCGCGGGAGACGGGGGGCCGGGACGACGUCACCUACAACAUCGUCUGUAAGAAGUGCCGCUCGGACCGGCGCGCCUGCUCCCGCUGCGACGACAACGUGGAGUUCGUGCCCCGGCAGCUGGGGCUGACAGAGACCCGCGUCUUCAUCAGCAGCCUCUGGGCUCACACGCCGUACACCUUCGAGAUCCAGGCGGUCAACGGGGUUUCCAACAAGAGCCCCUUCCCGCCCCAGCACGUCUCCGUGAACAUCACCACCAACCAAGCCGCACCCUCCACCGUCCCCAUCAUGCACCAGGUGAGUGCCACCAUGAGGAGCAUCACGCUGUCCUGGCCGCAGCCGGAGCAGCCCAAUGGCAUCAUCCUGGACUACGAGCUCCGCUACUACGAGAAGGUGAGCCGGAUCUGCACGCCCGACGUCAGCAACACCGUGGGCUCGAGGCCAGCAACGGACCACAACGAAUACAACUCCUCCAUGGCCCGCAGCCAGACCAACACGGCCAGGAUCGAGGGGCUGCGCCCCGGCAUGGUCUACGUGGUGCAGGUGCGAGCGCGGACGGUGGCCGGCUACGGGAAGUACAGCGGGAAAAUGUGCUUCCAGACGCUGACCGAUGAUGACUACAAAUCCGAGCUGAGGGAGCAGCUGCCGUUGAUCGCAGGGUCCGCGGCGGCCGGCGUGGUCUUCAUCGUCUCGCUGGUGGCCAUCUCCAUAGUCUGCAGCAGGAAGCGUGCGUACAGCAAGGAGGCGGUUUACAGCGAUAAGUUACAGCACUACAGCACCGGGCGAGGGUCUCCAGGGAUGAAGAUCUACAUCGACCCCUUCACUUACGAGGACCCCAACGAGGCGGUCCGCGAGUUCGCCAAGGAGAUCGACGUCUCCUUUGUGAAGAUUGAAGAGGUCAUUGGAGCAGGGGAGUUUGGAGAAGUGUAUAAAGGCCGCCUGAAGCUACCUGGCAAGCGGGAGAUCUACGUGGCCAUCAAAACGCUCAAAGCUGGCUACUCGGAGAAGCAGCGCCGGGAUUUCCUAAGCGAGGCCAGCAUCAUGGGGCAGUUUGACCACCCCAACAUCAUCCGUCUGGAAGGGGUGGUGACCAAGAGCCGACCUGUCAUGAUCAUCACAGAGUUCAUGGAGAACGGGGCCUUGGACUCCUUCCUACGGCAAAAUGACGGGCAGUUCACGGUGAUCCAGCUGGUGGGGAUGCUCAGAGGAAUUGCCGCUGGGAUGAAGUACCUUGCAGAGAUGAACUAUGUCCACCGAGAUCUGGCAGCCAGGAACAUCCUGGUCAACAGCAACCUAGUGUGCAAAGUGUCAGACUUCGGGCUCUCGCGGUACCUGCAAGACGACACGUCCGACCCCACCUACACCAGCUCCUUAGGUGGGAAGAUCCCCGUGCGGUGGACAGCCCCGGAGGCCAUUGCCUACCGCAAGUUCACGUCGGCCAGCGACGUCUGGAGCUACGGCAUCGUCAUGUGGGAGGUGAUGUCGUUUGGGGAGAGGCCCUACUGGGACAUGUCCAACCAAGAUGUCAUCAACGCCAUCGAGCAGGACUACCGGCUCCCGCCGCCCAUGGACUGCCCGGCCGCCCUGCACCAGCUGAUGCUGGACUGCUGGCAGAAGGACCGCAACACCCGGCCUCGCUUCACAGAGAUCGUCAACACCCUUGACAAAAUGAUCCGCAACCCGGCAAGCCUCAAAACUGUGGCUACCAUCACCGCUGUGCCUUCUCAGCCCCUCCUCGACCGCUCCAUCCCCGAUUUCACUGCCUUUACCUCAGUAGAAGACUGGCUGAGCGCCGUCAAGAUGAGCCAGUACAGAGACAACUUCCUGAGCGCUGGCUUCACCUCCCUCCAGCUGGUCGCCCAGAUGACAUCUGAAGACCUCCUGAGAAUAGGGGUGACUCUGGCUGGGCACCAGAAGAAGAUCCUGAACAGCGUCCAGUCCAUGCGAGUGCAGAUGAGUCAGUCUCCGACCUCGAUGGCGUGAUGUCCCUCGCUCAACGGGGAGGGGACAGGGAGGGCAGGCGGCGGAGGCGGGAGGGGAGGAACUGACAGAGCCGCGGUGCGACGGUCGGAGAGGGGCGGCCGCGGCCGGGGGCUGCGCCUGCUGGUGAAGGAUGCUCCUGGGACUGGCCUCGGCCUGGUGACUUCCGUUCCUUGCCUACAGAAGCACACUUACCGAUGUCACAGGGAACGGUGUAUAAAUAAGUAUAAAUAUGUACAAAUAGUAUAUUUAAAAAUGAAAAAAAAACCACAAAACCACACAAAAAAACAGCCAACAAUGAAGACAAACCAAUGUAUGUUGGGGAAAUGAACCCAAAUCCUAGAGACCAGACUCCACUCCCACCGCCAGUGAGCAGUAGUCAAAACUGAGGUGGAGGAAGGGACUUUUGGGGAAGGGAGAGGCACCAGAUUGAGUUCCCCAACUGGAGAAGCUACCGGGAGCGACUGCCUUCCUUCUUGCUUCCUUUGCUCUCCCUCCCUGCCCCAGCCCCUCCUGCUGCCCCUGCUCCCUUCUCUGCUCACGGCCUGGUGGAGCCUCCUCAGCAGCCUCCACAGCUGCCCCCAUCGUGUCUAGGUGUCGCUCUGCCAACUACCAAAGGACUUCGCUGACCACUGCAAGGGGGGGAUCCAACUCAAUCCAGUUAAUGUCUUCAUAUUGAAGAAGAGAUGUACCUUCAAUAGAAAAACCUUGGUUUUUUUCUUUUGCUUGCAUUUUUUUGCAAAAAGGAAAAACAACAAAAAAAUCCAUCAUGGAAAAUGGAAAGAGGUGUUCCCGUGUGUGUGUGUGUGUGCGCGCGCGCGUGUACUUUGUCAACCUACCAUGGACUCGCUGCUUGGAGGUCGCCACCCACCUGAAGGCAGUGGACGGCCGGGUCCAAGGCCUGGAUCUGUGCCUGGAGCCGGCAGAGGCCCCAGCGAGGCCGGCGCUCAGCGCGGCGCAGGCGGGACCAGGACGAGGAUGAGGAGGAUGCGAGGGGCCAGCGGGGACAGGACUGGAGGAGUCGCGGCGUGUGGGUACUGGGUUGUGGAGGAGGAGGAGGAGGAGAGAUGCUCUGGGGAAGAGACUGAUGAGGCCUCCAGAGCCUCGGGGAUCUGCAGAAGAUGGCUACGGAGAACUUUAUUUCCCCCAUCUUGUGGACCUAAGGAUUUUGAUAUUGGGUUACAGACUUGGGUUUCAUGGCUUCAGAGGGGUACAGAUGCACCGGCAGCGCUGCCUCUCCCGCACCCUCCGCCGCCCAUGGGAUGAGCUGGGACAUCUCUGGAGCCCCGAGCCGGGCUGCGGGAGCCUCCGCUGCCACAGCAUGCCCCAUGCCGGCUGGCAGCACCCCGUCCUGUACAUAACAGUGAGGUGUCUGUAACAGGUUUUCACCCAUUGUAAAUUUUUUUUUAAUUAUCAUUUUUUAUUUCUUAUUUUUUGCCCCCUCCCCAGUUUGUCAAUUGUGUUGAACUUGUCGGAGUUUGUAAUGGUAACUUUCAGAGAAUAUUGUACUAAAGAGAGAAUUGCACUCAAUAAAAAUAAUGAAAUAAGCCUGAUCCUUUCUCUUCCCCUUCCCAGAGGCGGUCUUACUGCUGCCGUGUUAU